UACGGGGGGGCAAGCGUUGUUCGGAAUUACUGGGCGUAAAGGGCUCGUAGGCGGCCAACUAAGUCAGACGUGAAAUCCCUCGGCUUAACCGGGGAACUGCAUCUGAUACUGGAUGGCUUGAGAUUGGGAGAGGGAUGCGGAAUUCCAGGUGUAGCGGUGAAAUGCGCAGAUAUCAGGAGGAACACCGGUGGCGAAGGCGGAUCUCUGGCCUUGCCUGACGCUGAGGCGCGAAAGCUAGGGGAGCGAACAGG
rnacentral:rRNA from 1 species